CCGAGUUAGGGUCCUCUGGGCCCGAUCUCCAACCCUCUGUGUAUCUACCUCAUGUUGCUUUGGCGGGCCGUUGGGCCUGGCCCACCGUCGGCUUCGGCUGGCGCGCGCCCGCCAGAGACCACCUAAAACUCUUGUUUAUCAAUGUCGUCUGAGUACUAUGCAAAUAGUUA
rnacentral:misc_RNA from 1 species